rnacentral:rRNA from 1 species
GACGAACGCUGGCGGAGUGCUUAACACAUGCAAGUCGAACGAAGUGGCGAACGGGUGAGUAACGCGUAAUCAACCUGCCCUUCAGAGGGGGACAACAGUUGGAAACGACUGCUAAUACCGCAUACUGAAGGAGGGGAUUGCGUCUGAAUAGCUAGUUGGAGGGGUAACGGCCCACCAAGGCGAUGAUCAGUCGCCGGUCUGGGAAGAUGGACAGCCACAAUGGGACUGAGACACGGCCCAAACUCCUACGGGAAGCAGCAAUGGGGAAUCUUCCGCAAUGGAGGGAAAUCUGACGGAACAACGCCGGGUGGUUGAUGGCAGCCUUCGGGAUGUAAAGCUCUGUUAAUCGGGACGCGGUACCGGAAUAGAAAGCCACGGCUAACUACGUGCCAGCAGCCGCGGUAAUAC